rnacentral:rRNA from 1 species
AUGUUUGUUAGGCAUAAAGAGAAAGAUAAUUUUCAUGUGAGGCUGCAAGUUGAUGUGCUUGAGCAGGCAUUUGGACCUAGGAUGACGGGUGCAACAUCUCGGGGAGAACCAAGUCGUCGUAAUGGCAUCUCUAGCCAGAACAGUUCAGUUGGUGCACGACGACGUGGUGGCUCGACAAGUGUGGGCAACAGCAGUAGGGUCCCCCUUGAAGUGGAGCUUGAUGACUACAAUUCUGGGGUUGAUGAAGAGAAGCUAUAUUCUGAUGUUAUUCGGAAUUUACGACGGGCACCUCGGGCAGAAAACCAAGAUGAGGAUCACAAUGCAGUCCGUGUGGAUGAUGACGCAGUGGGUGAGGACGAAGACCUUGCAGCUGUUGAAUGGGACCCUUUGAACCCUCAUAUGGAAGAAGGUACAGUUUUUGCAUCCAUGAAUGAGUGUAGAAAUGCACUUGUGACAUACUGCAUCAAGGUAGAACGUACUUUCAAAAUUGACAAGAGUGAUCAAGUACGUUACAGAGUGCACUGUCCGACUGAGGGUUGUCCAUGGAGGCUGCUCGCAUCUAAAAUGCGAAAUAGCACUAAUGUUCAGGUCAAAGUGAACCCUUUUAAGCACACAUGCCAGGAAUCAACCCUUAGGAAGGAUACAAUCAGUAGAGCCAAGUCAAGAUGGAUGGCAGAAGAAGUAAAGAAGUGGGUGAAAGAAAACCAGCAAGUGGGUCCAAAGGAAUUGCAGAAGAACAUCAAAGAUAAGUUCAAGAUAGAUUUACCAUACAUGAGGUUUUUCAAUGUAGAUCCAGCGUUCAGAGAGAGUUUCGAUGAAGGCUUCGAUGAAAAUGUUGGUCAGCAGCCGGUUGCCUCAAUAGAUGAUGACAAUGAUGGUCAAUAG